rnacentral:rRNA from 1 species
AAAAAAUUAUUUCCCCGAAGUAACGUCUUCUUAGAUCUUAUCCGGAGAUAAAGAGCGAAAAGAGAGAACACAAACGCGGCGGUAACGAACGAAGAGCGGCGAAUAAAAGAACUGAAGCGGAGGAAAAGAAACUAAAAGGCGUUUGGAGCAGUUGUAUGAUCGUGUCUGUGGUGAUUAACGUUUAACGCUUCUUUAAAAAAGUAGCGAGAAUUAAAGGUGCUUGGCUUGGCACGCCAACAUUCAUCAUUACUGUUUAACGUAUGACUAUCAAAUAUUAAAAAAUGCGUAACAAUAGUACAAACGCAUUGACUUGAAUGGAGCGAUCAAGUCUUAUCAGUGGAUCACUUGGUUCGUAGAUCGAUGAAAAACGGAGCGAAAACCGUUAUAUAGCGUGAAUUGCAGACAUAUUGAACGCUAAGAUUUUGAAUGCAAAUGGCACAAACAGGUUUAUAUCUGUUCGUAUGUCUCAUUGAGGGUCGAUUAAUUGGUUAACGGCGAAAGGCAUUAAAUGCUUUUUCGACUAGCUAACUGCUUCCCACUGCAGUUACAUAUUCGGUAUGGUGUUGUUGUUUAUUAGUCAAAUGAGCUUAAUUACUAUUGGAUCAAAUCUUUGCAUAAGGUAUUAUUUUCGAUUGUCACACAUUGU